rnacentral:misc_RNA from 1 species
AAAGUCGUAACAAGGUUUCCGUAGGUGAACCUGCGGAAGGAUCAUUAAUAAAUGCUUCAUUGCAUCCACCUUUUGUGCACAGUAAAUUUUCACUUAAAACUUUGUCUGAUUAAUGUUUGCUCUGAAAGGAACAUGAAUUGUAAUCUAAUACAACUUUUAACAAUGGAUCUCUUGGCUCUC